GACGAACGCUGGCGGCGUGCUUAACACAUGCAAGUCGAACGGAAAGGCCCUGCUUGCAGGGUACUCGAGUGGCGAACGGGUGAGUAACACGUGGGUGAUCUGCCCUGCACUUCGGGAUAAGCCUGGGAAACUGGGUCUAAUACCGGAUAGGAGCCAUUUUUAGUGUGAUGGUUGGAAAGUUUUUUCGGUGUAGGAUGAGCUCGCGGCCUAUCAGCUUGUUGGUGGGGUAAUGGCCUACCAAGGCGGCGACGGGUAGCCGGCCUGAGAGGGUGAACGGCCACAUUGGGACUGAGAUACGGCCCAGACUCCUACGGGAGGCAUCAGUGGGGAAUAUUGCACAAUGGGCGCAAGCCUGAUGCAGCGACGCCGCGUGGGGGAUGACGGCCUUCGGGUUGUAAACUCCUUUCGCUAGGGACGAAGCUUUUUGUGACGGUACCUAGAUAAGAAGCACCGGCUAACUACGUG
rnacentral:rRNA from 1 species